rnacentral:rRNA from 1 species
AGUCUGCAACCCGACUCCACGAAGUUGGAUUCGCUAGUAAUCGCGCAUCAGCCAUGGCGCGGUGAAUACGUUCCCGGGCCUUGUACACACCGCCCGUCAAGCCAUGGGAGCCGGGGGCGCCUGAAGUCCGGGACCGCGAGGACCGGCCUAGGGCGAAACUGGUAACUGGGGCUAAGUCGUAACAAGGUAUC